AUGUUGCCGUACUCGCGGAGCACAUGCCGGCUGGCCGCCAGCUUCUCCGGCUCCAGCAUCAGCACCUUGUUUAUGUUAUCCAGGAUCGGACGGCCUCCUGGGUGCACCGCCCAGAAGAGGUCGUUCCACCUCCCGUUCCCAUUCCCAGAGCAUGGGGAUGGCGGAGGAGCAGCACCACCGUCGUCGUCGUCGACAAUGGCGCUACGGAAUGCGUCGAGGAGGCAUUGCUCCACGUUCUGCCCGACGAGCGUGGGCACCUGGAUGGCCAGGUGGAAGUCGACGCCGCCCCCGGAGACCCGCAUGCCCAGCGCGUGCUCGGUCCUGGGAAUCGUGGUCUGCGUGGCGGAGACCAUCUCGAAGAUCGGGCGCCGCUCGCCGUCGAGGAAAGGGCCGGCCCCGAUGACGACGGCGCCCCAGGCGACGAGGACGCGCGCGCCGCGGUUGUUCUCGGCCAGCUCCUUGGCGAGGCUCAGCGCCCUGCCGCCGCCGUAG
rnacentral:rRNA from 1 species